rnacentral:rRNA from 1 species
AUUGAACGCUGGCGGCGUGCCUAAUACAUGCAAGUCGAACGGAGUGGCGCACGGGUGAGUAAUAUAUAGCUAAUCUGCCCCUUGCUGGAGGACAACAGUUAGAAAUGACUGCUAAUACUCCAUAUCAAGGGAUGAGACUAUAUCGUAUCAGCUAGUCGGUGGGGUAACGGCCUACCGAGGUUAUGACGCGUAACUGGUCUGAGAGGAUGAUCAGUCUAAUUGGAACUGAGACACGGUACAAACUCCUACGGUAAGCAGCAGGAGGGAAUAUUGCGCACUGGGGGAAAACCUGACGCGGCAACGCCGCGUGGAGGAUGACACUUUUCGAAGCGUAAGCUCCUUUUGUUAGGGAAGCGGUACCUGACGAAUAAGCACCGGCUAACUCCGUGCCAGCCGCCGCGGUAAUAC